rnacentral:rRNA from 1 species
UAGAUACCCUAUUAUUAAAGAUUAACCCUCCUAAGGUAGUAGUUGAAAUAAUCUUGAAACCUAAAGAAUUUGGCGGUGUUUGUUUAAAUCAGAGGAACCUGUCAUUUAAUCGAUACUCCACGUUACCUCUUACUUCUUUUAAGCUUGUAUACCGUCAUCUAAAGUAUAUUUUAAAAAAGAAGAUACUUAAAUUGAUUAUACAGUUAAGUUAGAUCAAGGUGCAGCUUUUAGAUUAGCUUUAGAUGGGUUACAAUAAAUAUAAUUUUAAAUUUUUAUUAGAAGGAUAAAUUAAAAUUGGAUUUGAAAGUAAUAAAGGUUUAAAAGCCCUUAUGAGUAUAAUUCCAAACAAGUACACAUCGCCCGUCGCUCUU